rnacentral:rRNA from 1 species
GUAGCUGGUCUGAGAGGAUGGCCAGCCACACUGGAACUGAGACACGGUCCAGACUCCUACGGGAGGCAGCAGUGGGGAAUAUUGGACAAUGGGGGCAACCCUGAUCCAGCAAUGCCGCGUGUGUGAAGAAGGCCUGAGGGUUGUAAAGCACUUUCAGUGGGGAGGAGGAUUGAUUGGUUAAGAGCUGAUUAAUUGGACGUUACCCACAGAAGAAGCACCGGCUAACUCCGUGCCAGCAGCCGCGGUAAUACGGAGGGUGCAAGCGUUAAUCGGAAUUACUGGGCGUAAAGGGUGCGUAGGUGGUUUAUUAAGUUAUCUGUGAAAUCCCUGGGCUUAACCUGGGCAGGUCAGAUAAGACUGGUAGACUCGAGUAUGG